rnacentral:rRNA from 1 species
UACAGGGGGGGCAAGCGUUAUUCGGAAUUAUUGGGCGUAAAGGGCGUGUAGGCGGCCUCGUAUGUCUUCUGUGAAAGCCCUCGGCUCAACCGAGGAACUGCAGGAGAAACGGCGAGGCUCGAGUCCGGGAGAGGAAAGCGGAAUUCCCAGUGUAGAGGUGAAAUUCGUAGAUAUUGGGAGGAACACCGGUGGCGAAGGCGACCACCUGGACGGAGACUGACGCUGAGGCGCGAAAGCGUGGGGAGCAAACAGG